rnacentral:rRNA from 1 species
AUACCUACGGGGCGCAGCAGUGGGGAAUAUUGCACAAUGGGGGAAACCCUGAUGCAGCGACGCCGCGUGAGUGAAGAAGUAUUUCGGUAUGUAAAGCUCUAUCAGCAGGGAAGAAAAUGACGGUACCUGACUAGGAAGCCCCGGCUAACUACGUGCCAGCAGCCGCGGUAAUACGUAGGGGGCAAGCGUUAUCCGGAUUUACUGGGUGUAAAGGGAGCGUAGACGGCAUUGCAAGUCUGAUGUGAAAGA